CGGUCGAGAGGACCUGCGGGCAGAUCAGGUGUACGUGGCUGUCGACCGCGCCCGCCGUCAGGAUCUUUCCGUUGCCGGCGAUCACCUCCGUGCCCGGGCCGAUCACCAGGUCCGGGUGCACACCGUCCAUCGUGUCCGGGUUGCCGGCCUUGCCCAGCGCGACGAUCCGCCCGUCGCGGAUGCCGAUGUCGGCCUUGACCACGCCCCAGUGGUCGAGCACCACCGCGCCGGUGAUCACGGUGUCGACGGUGCCGUCGCCGCGGCUGACCGCCGACUGGCCCAUCGACUCCCGGAUCA
rnacentral:sRNA from 1 species